rnacentral:rRNA from 1 species
GUGAACUGGGGGCCAGUGGCCGCGGUACUACGAGGGGGGCGAGCGUUGUUCGGAUUUACUGGGCGUAAAGGGCGCGCAGGCGGCGGACCAAGGCAGGCGGGAAAGCCCCGGGCUUAACCUGGGAGGUGCGUCUGGGACUGGUUUGCUAGAGUUCGGGAGAGGAGAGUGGAAUUCCCAGUGUAGAGGUGAAAUUCGUAGAUAUUGGGAAGAACACCGGUGGCGAAGGCGGCUCUCUGGACCGAGACUGACGCUGAGGCGCGAAAGCGUGGGGAGCAAACAGGAUUAGAUACCCCAGUAGUC